GGCUACGACCUGUUUGUGGAAAGUAAACAAACUAACUACUGAGCCAACUACAUCUCUCUCUACAUUAUCAAGGUUUCAACCUAGAGGAGCUGGACUAUUAUAUCGAUUCCUACUCCGAACAAUUAUUCACAAGGGUAAAGAACGAAAAACUAACGGAGCCGCUCCAAACCCGACUCCAUCAUCAAAACGAUCACUGGACUCAUUCACCGACUGGACAACCCAGAAGCAGCUGAAUGAAGCUGGGGAAACCUGCAGUCAGCUGAGACUGAAGAAGUUACUUGGUUGAGUGAGGAAACGUUUCUUCCACUGAAAACGCUACGUCCAGAUGAACAGAAUCAAUUUUCUGGGCUAUAAAACUCCACAGGACUUCCUGCUCCCUUCCACUCCUUGAUUCCUUUCUGAGCAACCACUGGCCUUGCCCAGACAGCUAAUCUCUGCUUUGCUUCCUGUCUUCACACAAGUGCUCAAGACUCUGUAAUCCAAGACCCAAGAAUGUGAGAAGUAGUUAUAGUUUUGCAUUAUGCAUCAGAUCUGGCUCUUUCAACCCCACAGAGGGUCUUUUCCAUAUACAGAUUAAAGUUUCUGCAGCCAGAGGUCAGCAAGCCAAGGUCUCUGUCCUUGUUUGAGUCAUGAUGCUAGCAUGAUGCCCACUCAACCAACAUCUACUUAGUCCCUAUAGGUGCAGGUCACCAGGAAUUUAAAAAUUUUCCAUCCAAGCCUGGCUCCAUGAACACAUUUUUUAUCUGACCCUCACGAGAGGGUCAGAUAAAAUGUGACAAUAAUAACAAAAUGUUGCAACAACAAUAAUAAUAACCUCUGUAGAUAAACUGCAAUUUGUGGGUAAUAGCCGCAGUAUAACAUGCCAAUUUUUAAACACAUUUUUCAUCAAAACCUUUCUAGAGAGAAGAUUUCCACAUCAUAUUUUUGGUGAGCUAUUUAUCUACUAGAGCUUUUUGAAUCCUGUCUUGUAAAGAGGAAGCUGAGUAGUGGGCCAUUCUACAAAAAGCACUGUGUAUUCCUCUUCUCUCAGGGAAUGUAUCAAGUCUUUUUUUAGAUAAAGGGAGUUUGAUUCUCGUGGCAGUUUUAGAAAGAGAAAAAAGCAUGACAAGCAGACUGAUGUACUGCAACAUGAGGGGAGUUUUUUUUUCACAUCCUUUUGCUAAACAAAAUACCAAACUCUCUGUGUGUAAGUGGGCCGUAGACCACAUGAGGGGCAGUUUCUGAGGAAAGAAAAAAAUUUAAAUAAAAUUUCUGUCUUGUUGUUGCGUAUACUCCCCUGCUGCUGAAGUUCACCCUCUAUGGAAAACCAUGUUUAGUCAUUUUCACUGAAUGACAUAUAAAAUGAUACAUGGAAACAUAAAAAUGUGUUAUAAAGUAUCUUUGUUUAUUUGAAUGCAUCUUGACAUCUUUGAUUCCUCUUCUCCUUUUCAGUGUUUUAGUUGAUUGUGUUAGAUUUUAUCUUGGUAUGUGUCUGUGACAAUAGAAACAGUCUCCAAACAGUUUGUGGUUUGUGCAUGGUCUUUUAUUCCAUGGCCAGUUUUGUAAACUAAAAUAGCACUGAAAGAGUUUUGUGGAGUUACAGUAAAGGGUUGUACUUUGCCUUCCGGUUAAGGCAGAUUUGGAGACAUCUUAGUUCUUGUAAUAAAGUUGGAUAUCAUUGC